rnacentral:lncRNA from 1 species
AUAAUUUCUUCAGUCGUUACAAAGAUGCUGAACAUUUAAACACGAGAUCAGCCUCAUUUAGCUGAAUAGAAUGUUCGCUGUAGAAAUCAGUACUUCAAACUUGUUUUAAAAGCAAAAACGCUCCCUCCUGCUGGAAGUCUGCUGUGUGAAAGAAAAUGUGAUUGGUUUCUUCUCUAAUCCCUCUAUUUGUCCCCUCUUUAUUCCUUCUAGGUUGAUAGUCUUCAGCUGGAAUGGAUUGGGAGCUGAAAAAGAGAAAUCAUAAGUCAAGGACAAAAACANGCUAACAUGACUGGUACCAUUAUAAUAUAGUGAGCCACCCCUUUUCUAAAGAAGAGCCCAAAGGAAGACUGGUCAUCUCUUGUAAAUCUCAAAACCAUGGCUCAGUCUUCUCCCAGAAACAGUGCUAGAACAAAAAUGCAUUUCCUCAAAUUAAAUGAGAAUGUAGUACUGCAUGGAAGAGGGCAUGGCAACCCACUCCAGUAUCCUUGCCUGGAGGAUCCCCAUGGACAGAGGAGCCUGGCAUUCUACAGUCCAUAGGGUCUCAAAGAGUAGGAUGUGACUGAGCAGCGAAGCACAGCACAGCACAUAAUACAGCAUGCACCUUCUUGCAAAGAAAAGAACAGUCAGGAUGAAGAUAGAAUUGACAGAUUGCUGUUAGUUAAGUGUCAAGAAGUCCUGUCUUGAGGUUUUGAGAUGAGAGCUAUGCUUGGCAGAUUGUACAAAAACCAAGAAUCCUCUAUUUCUCCCCUCUGAUCCUUCAAGAGAUCCCUGAAUUUAAACUGUUAAUGUGUAUUUUAAUAUCUUCUUCUCCCAUAAUGGAUUGUCUUAAACAUUCUUCUAAUGUGCUUUGGGUUUAAUACUAGGUGAAAUGUAAGAUAAGAGUUAACUGUUCAAUGUUAUUGGCAGAGUUUCUGUUUGGGCUUCCCUGGUGGCUCAGCUGGUAAAGAAUCUACCUGCAAUGUGGGNNNNNNNNNNNNNNNNCUUGGAUUGGGAAGAUCCCCUGGAGAAGGGAAUGGCUACCCACUCCAGUAGAUACUGGUGAUGGUUACAUAACAUUGUGAAUGUACUUAAUGGCAAUGAAUUAUAUACUGAAAACUGGUUAAAAUGAUAAAAUUUUAUGUCACAUAUGUUUCACCACACACAGACACACACACACAGUUAAACAGUAAAGUAUAAAAAACAAACAUCCAUAAGUGAGCAUUGGGGUGAACAGUAGGAGGAUUGAAAAAAGAGCAAAGGUAUUAUACCAUCAGCAGUAUCUAUUUCCAGAGCUUUUUCACAUUCCAAAGAGAAAGAAAGGGAAAGUCGCUCAGUCGUGUCUGACUCUUUGUGACCCCAUGGAAUUCUCCA